rnacentral:rRNA from 1 species
GACGAACGCUGGCGGCGUGCUUAACACAUGCAAGUCGAGCGGAGAGGCCCUCCGGGUUCCUGAACGGCGAACGGGUGGGGAACACGUGAGUAAACUGCCCCCGACUUUUGGAUAACCCCCGGAAACGGGGGCCAAAACCGGAUACGACCCCACCUCGCCUGGGGGCCGGGGGGAAAGUUUUUCGGUUUGGGAUGGGCUCGCGGCCUAUCAGCUUGUUGGUGGGGUGGUGGCCUACCAAGGCGACGACGGGUAGCCGGCCUGAGAGGGCGACCGGCCACACUGGGACUGAGACACGGCCCAGACUCCUACGGGAGGCAGCAGUGGGGAAUAUUGCACAAUGGGCGGAAGCCUGAUGCAGCGACGCCGCGUGAGGGAUGACGGCCUUCGGGUUGUAAACCUCUUUCAGCAGGGACGAAGCGUAAGUGACGGUACCUGCAGAAGAAGCGCCGGCCAACUACGUG